rnacentral:rRNA from 1 species
ACGUGAGCAACCUUCCGAAAUAUGGGGAUAGCCGGCCUAACGGCCGAGUAAUACCGCAUACGCUCUCGAUGAGGCAUUUCAUUGAGAGGAAACCUCCGGGGUAUUUCGAGGGGCUCGCGGCCUAUCAGCUAGUUGGCGAGGUAACGGCUCACCAAGGCAACGACGGGUAGCUGGUCUGAGAGGAUGGCCAGCCACAUUGGGACUGAGAUACGGCCCAG